AUUGAACGCUGGCGGCAUGCUUUACACAUGCAAGUCGGACGGCAGCGGGGUAGUGCUUGCACUACUGCCGGCGAGUGGCGAACGGGUGAGUAAUAUAUUGGAACGUACCGAGUAAUGGGGGAUAACCAAUCGAAAGAUUGGCUAAUACCGCAUACGCUCUGAGGAGGAAAGCAGGGGACCUUCGGGCCUUGCGUUAUUCGAGCGGCCAAUAUCUGAUUAGCUAGUUGGUGGGGUAAGGGCCUACCAAGGCGACGAUCAGUAGCGGGUCUGAGAGGAUGAUCCGCCACACUGGGACUUAGACACGGCCCAGACUCCUACGGGAGGCAGCAGUGGGGAAUUUUGGACAAUGGGCGCAAGCCUGAUCCAGCCAUGCCGCGUGUCUGAAGAAGGCCUUCGGGUUGUAAAGGACUUUUGUUAGGGAAGAAAAAGGAGCGGUUAAUACCCGUUUCUGCUGACGGUACCUAAAGAAUAAGCACCGGCUAACUACGUG
rnacentral:rRNA from 1 species